AGAAGAGGACUGACUCGACUCUGCGACCAGGCUUAGAACCCACAGGCCUAAAUUUCUGUGUUAUUUUAGCUCUGUAGUCCGUGACCCGAGAUUGUGGAAGGCCCAUGAGCUUCCUCCCUGGCCUCCCACGACUACAUCCUGAAGAUUGUGCCCACGGUUUAUGAGGACAAGAGUGGCAAGCAGCGGUACUCCUACCAGUACACGGUGGCCAACAAGGUGCGCGGGCGGUGGCUGGGCCGAGCUGUGUGCGGCGGCGCCCUCUGCUGACGGAGAGCAGAGAUGACAGGCGGCUGCACCGACGCACUUUCUUCUGAUUCCUUUCUGGAGGCCUUUCCUGGGGGUUAGCUUGGGCCAGGCGCUGUCCCUGGGUAAAAUUGAAAAGCCCAGUCCCUGCCAUGUGGCAGUCUCAGAGUCAAGGAGAACAGAUCUAACCAGGAGAUAGGGUGUGAUGCGUUUGACAAAGAGCAGGUAGUCUCUGUCCUACAAAGGUCCUGGGGUUGCAGGUCUCAAACAGCCCUGCAUCUGGUCCGAGUCCUUCAGACACAGACCCCUGGGUGCUCAACACAGACAGACACUCCUGCUCUCAGGGCACAGGCACUUUACCCAAACUCAUGAGGCUACUGAGUCACACCAAGAUGGCUGUUGAUUAAUUUGCUGUUGAUUGACAGGGGUGUCCCCAGGACCCCAACACUCAAAGUCAUGGAGAAGACGCCAGGCCUUAGUGGGCAGCAGAGCAUGGUCAGAGUCUGCAGAGUGGGAUGACCCAGCAAUUAGUGGUCUCAAGACAAGACAGCCUUGGGCUUCCCUGGGGGUAUCCCACCAAUGGGACAUGAAUACUUGAAACCUGUUGGUUGAAAUGCCCCUGCUAGACCCUGGCGGAUGGGUUUUUCCCACUUACCACCAGGACUGUCCUUUUUCUUCUGUUCCAAGGCUGCCCAAACCCCUUAUAAGUGAUACCUGUUUAGCUCAGUUAAUUAUAACAACAGUAGGAGGCAUAGCUGUCACUCAUUGAGUACUUCCUGGGGGCUAGACAUGCUAAGCUCUCUUCUUCCGUCUUCUCAAUCAUCAUGACAGCUCUGAUGUUGAGACUGUUAUUGAGCCCAUUUUGUUGAUUUGACCAUUGAGGCACUGAGAGGUGGUUGUAGAGCUAUAAAGUGGCUGAGUGGGGAUUAGAACAGGUUUUCCUUGGGCUCCAGAGCCUGGCUUCUUGAUCACCUCACGCCUCGGUCUGAGGAAGGGGCUGUGAGUCUGCCCACCUGCGAGCUGCUCUCUGUCCAAUGACUUAGUCCCUCUGUUCUGACUCACCCUAAAUUGAUGUUCCCGGGAGCCCCUGUUUCUUUUAUUCACUGUUUCACAGGGGGCAUCUCAUUGUAACCCUCACAUGCUCAUAGCAGCUAACAGAUGGAAAAGCACAGAUGCAAGCUCAGGACCACGCUGCAGUUCAAAUUCCAGCUCAGUCAUUCACUAGCUAUUGACCCCGGACAUGUCACAUAGCCACUGUGUGCCUCAGUUUACUCAUUCAUAAAAUGGAGAUGAUACUUUAUAAGAGUGCUGUCACAUGAGGCAAUGUUUUCAAAAAUGCCUAGCCCACCAAAAAAAAAAAGCCUUUAGGUAAGUGAUACUGACUGCUGCUAUUUUUCACUCUUUUUCUCUGUCCCUCAGCUCUGGGUUGUGACCCAGACAGUCAUCCUGCCCCAGCAGCUCUCCUGGAGAAAGCUGGUCUUCCCUUGCACAAAGCUCCUUUUCCCAAUGCUUUGGCAAGGCCCAGCAGCCAAAUACAGCUUGCUUAGCUUCUCUAUGGCUGCAGCCGCACUCUGCCCUGGGAGCAGGCAGCAGCGACCCAGCGGGAGGUCAGGGCUCAGUGUUACUUACCCCCGGAGUGGCCUGGGCUCCUCAGGCUCAGCAUGUGGGGUUGGGGGUACCCCAGUGGUUCAAUUUGGCCUCCAGUUGUUGCAGACUUUAGCACCUUGAAGUGCCCAAACUGGAGAGAUCCCAGGGAUCAUCAUCCCAGGCCCAUCCGUGUUUAGAUGGGGAAGCCAAGUCCCUGAGGGAGGGAGGGGCUGGCCCAAGGAUGCACUGUUAGCUCAGCCUCGUAGUAUCCUUAGUCCCUGCUGUGUGCAUUCUCAGGAAGGUUGGUGGCAGGGCGGGGCCUUCUGGCUUUGCAGUUCAGUCUAUUCCUCUGAAGAAGCUAGCCCACUCCCCACGUGGCAUUUACACCCAUCACACACACACACACACUGGGACUCCUGCUUAUUCAUCAUGUGUGGCUCAGAAUGUCCCCUCCCCAGUCUCCCAGAUGCCGCCCGGGAGAAUGGGUCAUUCAUUCAUUCCCCUCAACUCUCCAUGUUCCUCCAUCCCACAUGCAUGAUGUCACAGUGUUAGGGAUAUUCUUAUGUCUUCCUCCUUCUGCAGACUGCGACUCCCUCUGGGUAAAGGGCAGGACUUGCUCACCUCGGGGUCCCCAGCAGCCAGCCAUGGGCCACCACAGUGGAGGCGUUCAGCAAACCAUUGUUGAAUAAAUGAAUGGAUUUCGCGUGGCCCAGAGGUUGAAGGAGGCAAUAGCCAAAAAUUGCACUUUUCCUUUUACAGCUCUGCUUUCUAAUUUAUUUUCUGAUUCUGGUGCUGCUUGCAGCUCACUUGGUCAAUUUCUAAACAACCAAGGGUAUCAAAAAUGCCCAGCUGUGCACGGCAGAGUUCAGGGCCUCCAGGGGAAGGGAUGUGAGAGAGGGAGUGGGGGAGUCUGGCUUCGUGGGGCAGAGAGGGAGGAAAGCCCUUUCUGGAGGGUUGCUGGGGGGCCCUCUGCAAUCCAGUCCCCGCCCCCCCUGAGACACAGUUUGUACUUCUGAUUCUUAUAUCCUCUACCCCAGGAAUACGUCGCCUACAGCCACACGGGCCGCAUCAUCCCUGCAAUCUGGUUCCGCUACGACCUCAGCCCCAUCACGGUCAAGUACACAGAGAGACGGCAGCCGCUGUACAGAUUCAUCACCACGGUGAGUGGCCUGGGGCAGUGGGUGGGGCCCUGAGCCAGCCACCCUGCGCCUGCUCUGGGCCCCUUUCCUUGGCACCCCUCACCUGUUCUCGCUGAAACAGGAGGCAGCCUGCAGGGCUAGGGGCUCUGGCUGGGCACAGGAGGCUUCGACCCCAAGGAUGCUGAGAAAUGUUGUCAGAAACACAUCAGUAUCGAUGACGUUUUGUCUAGAAAGUAUUUUCCAGAGGGGAAUGCCCUGAAAUCCAUUUAAUUCCUGAAGCAAAUCUCCAUAUGGUUCCACUAGAUGUUUAGGAUUUUCUCCAGCUUUUUAUUGUUAUGGAAAUUAUUCUUAGCAGAGUUUAUCCUUUAAUGUGUAAAUUUUGCACCAAAGAUUGAACUCAUUUUUUUUUCCAGGUCUAAUUUCCAGUUAUAGCUGCUGAUAGGGUCCGAUUUUUCCCUUUCCUUCCUCUCUGUUCUCUCUUUUUUGCCAUGGUCUCUACCACAUCCAGUUUUCUCUAGGGCAGAUUCAAGCUGAUGUUAGUUUUCCUUUAUGCUGAUUAUUUCUAUCAUGUCUACUGUUUCCUGGCCUCCCAUUCAGAAGGUCCUUAGGGUCAGAACAGGAGGGUCAGGGUGCCCUUCUUCACCCAAGAGGCCCAGGAGGUACUGAAGAAGCCAGAGUUAGCUGAGGUGGAAGAGACAGGGUGGCUAUCCCUACUUCACAGAUUUGGAAACUGAGACCUAAAGAUAAAUAUGGCAUUGGGAGGCCCUUAUGCUUCUGUACUUCUUCAUGCUUGUAAUGAUGGUUCAAGAUCAAGGGCCUUGGCUCUUUCAUUUCCCGCAAUAACUAGGUCAGUAUUAGUCAGGACUCUGUUACCGAAGAUCCAGAACCAGACCUUGAGCUGGCCUGAGGAGUAGAAGGCCUCAGGCAUGGCUGGAUCCAGCCUCCAACAUUGCCAGGAGUAGGUCUCUAUCUUCGGAUCUGCUUUCCGCUACACUGGCUUCAUCUUCAAGUAGAAUUUACCAGUAGAAAUGGCCUCUUUCUCAGUCAUUCUAACCAAGUCCUAGAUAGGACAGAGCUCUCACUGGCCCAGCUCAGGCCUCAUGCCAUCCUUGUGGCCUGGGAAAUCAAAUGCUCUGGUUGGCCAGGCUUAGGCCCUGUACCCUCUCUGGUGUCAACCCCAUCCAAACCGCAGGGACACAGAUUGUGAGGAAUGAGGUUUCUCAAGAGAAAAGGCAGGGGCCAGCUACUGGAAGAGGAAAGAGUGGGUGCCAGGAGGCAGAACAGUGGGAUGUUGUGACAGGGUCUCUGCCUUCUCAUCUGUGAAGUAAGAACGAUCAUCUCUGUUCCUGCCACCUCCCAGGGCCUUGUGGGACUCAGAGGAGAUUGUGAAAGGAGAAGCUGUUUGCAGAUGUGAAAAGCCAAGUAGGACGGGGCACAGUGGCUCACACUUGUAGUCCCAGCAGUUUGGGAGGCUGAGGCGGGAGGAUCGCUUGAGGCCAGGAGUUUGAAACCAGCCUGGGCAACAUUGUGAAGGCUUGUCUCUAAGAAUCUUCUUAAAUUAGCUGGAUACGGUGGUAUAUGCACCUGUAGUCCCAGCUACUUAGGAGGCUGAGGUGAGAGGAUCACUUGAGCCCAGGAUUUUAAGGUUAGAGUGAGUCAUGAUCGUGCCACUUCACUCUAGCCUGGGCAACAGAGCGAGACCCUUUCUCUAAAAAACAAAAAUCCCCAGAAAACAGACAGAGAGAUACAAAGGGUGUCAUAAGUCUGGUGCUUACAUGAGCCUCAGAACAGUUUUUUGCUGUUCUCUUUGACCACAUAAAAGUUAGAAACUCCUGUUCAACAAACGGCACAUAACAUAAAGCAAAAAUCUCACACGCAGCCUGGGAAAAGAUACUUGCCAUCCAAAUGGGAAAGGGGUAGCCUUCAGAAUUCAUAUGUAAAGAACUCCUACAGAUCAGUAAGAAAAAGUUAACAACCAAAAAAGCAGACAAGGCCAAGGACCAGCUCUUCACAGAGGAGGUGAUAUUGGCAGUGAAAAGAUGCCCAAGUUCACUAGAAAUUGGAGGGAUGGGAUUUAAAACAAGACUCAAUUCAGGCCAGACGUGGUAGCUCACACCUGUAAUCCCAGCACUCUGGGAGGUGGAAGCAGGAGGAUGACUUGAGGCCAGGAGUUUGAAACCAGCCUGGUCACCGCAGCAAGACCCCCUCCCUACAAAAGAAAAGUUAAAAAAUUAGCUAGACAUAGUGGUGCAUGCCUGUAGUUUCAGCUAGUUGGGAGGCUGAGGUGGGAGGAUUGCUUGAGCGUGGGAGGUUGACACUGCAGUGGGCCAUGAUGGCGCCACUGCCCUCCAGCCUGGGCAACAGUGAGACCCGGUCUCAGAAAAAUAAAAAAAUUAAAAGACCCAGUUGAAUCCUAUUGGACUGACAGAAAUUGAAAACUUGCCCGGCUCACACCUGUAAUUCCAGGACUUUGGGAGGCCGAGGCGGGCAGAUCACCUGAGGUCAGGAGUUCAAGACCAGCCUAGCCAACAUGACAAAACACUACUAAAAAUACAAAAAUUAGCGGGGCAUGGUGGUGGGCGCCUGUAAUCCCAGCUACUUGGGAGGCUGAGGUGGGAGAAUUACUUGAACCUGGGAGGGAGAGGUUGCGGUGAGCCAGGAUCACUCCAGUGCACUCCAGCCUGGGCAACAGAGUGAGACUCCGUCUCAAAAAAAAAA
rnacentral:lncRNA from 10 species